rnacentral:lncRNA from 1 species
AUGAACACAUCUCAACACACACUGACACAGGCAGAGAGACACACAGGCAGAGAGACACACAGGCAGAGAGACACACAGGCAGAGAGACAGACACACAGGCAGAGAGACAGACACACAGGCAGAGAGACAGACACACAGGCAGAGAGACAGACACACAGGCAGAGAGACAGACACACAGGCAGAGAGACAGACACACAGGCAGAGAGACAGGCAGAGAGACAGACCGACAGGCAGAGAGACAGACAGGCAGAGAGACACACAGGCAGAGAGAGACACACAGGCAGAGAGAGACACACAGGCAGAGAGACACACAGGCAGAGAGACACACAGGCAGAGAGACACACAGGCAGAGAGACACACAGGCAGAGAGACACACAGGCAGAGAGACACACAGGCAGAGAGACACACACAUCUGGCAGAGAGACAGACACACAGGCAGAGAGACAGACAGACAGGCAGAGAGACAGACAGACAGGCAGAGAGACAGGCAGAGAGACAGACAGACAGGCAGAGAGACAGACAGACAAAGAGACACACAGGCAGAGAGACACACAGGCAGAGAGAGACACACAGGCAGAGAGACACACACAGGCAGAGAGACACACAGGCAGAGAGACACACAGGCAGAGAGACACGCAGGCAGAGAGACACGCAGGCAGAGAGACACGCAGGCAGAGAGACACGCAGGCAGAGAGACACGCAGGCAGAGAGACAGACAGACAGGCAGAGAGACAGACAGACAGGCAGAGAGACACGCAGGCAGAGAGACACGCAGGCAGAGAGACACGCAGGCAGAGAGACACACAGGCAGAGAGACACGCAGGCAGAGAGACACGCAGGCAGAGAGACACGCAGGCAGAGAGACACGCAGGCAGAGAGACACGCAGGCAGAGAGACACGCAGGCAGAGAGACACGCAGAGAGACAGACACACAGGCAGAGAGACAGACACACAGGCAGAGAGACAGACACACAGGCAGAGAGACACACACACAGGCAGAGAGACACACAGGCAGAGAGACACACAGGCAGAGAGACAGACACACAGGCAGAGAGACAGACACACAGGCAGAGAGACAGACACACAGGCAGAGAGACAGACAGACAGGCAGAGAGACAGACAGACAGGCAGAGAGACAGGCAGAGAGACAGACAGACAGGCAGAGAGACAGACAGGCAGAGAGACACACAGGCAGAGAGAGACACACAGGCAGAGAGAGACACACAGGCAGAGAGACACACAGGCAGAGAGACACACAGGCAGAGAGACACACAGGCAGAGAGACACACAGGCAGAGAGACACACAGGCAGAGAGACACACAGGCAGAGAGACACACAGGCAGAGAGACACACAGGCAGAGAGACACACAGGCAGAGAGAGACACACAGGCAGAGAGACACACAGGCAGAGAGACAGACAGACAGGCAGAGAGACACACAGGCAGAGAGACAGACACACAGGCAGAGAGACACACAGGCAGAGAGACACACAGGCAGAGAGACACACAGGCAGAGAGACACACAGGCAGAGAGACACACAGGCAGAGAGACACACAGGCAGAGAGACACACAGGCAGAGAGAGACACACAGGCAGAGAGAGACACACAGGCAGAGAGAGACACACAGGCAGAGAGACACACAGGCAGAGAGACACACAGGCAGAGACACACACAGGCAGAGAGAGACACACAGGCAGAGAGAGACACACAGGCAGAGAGACAGACACACAGGCAGAGAGACACACACAGGCAGAGAGACACACACAGGCAGAGAGAGACACACAGGCAGAGAGAGACACACAGGCAGAGAGACAGACACACAGGCAGAGAGACACACACAGGCAGAGAGACACACAGGCAGAGAGACACACAGGCAGAGAGACAGACACACAGGCAGAGAGACACACACAGGCAGAGAGACACACAGGCAGAGAGACACACAGGCAGAGAGACGCACACAUCUGGCUGCAAUAG